rnacentral:rRNA from 1 species
UACGAAGGGGGCUAGCGUUGCUCGGAAUUACUGGGCGUAAAGCGCACGUAGGCGGAUUGUUAAGUCGGGGGUGAAAUCCUGGAGCUCAACUCCAGAACUGCCUUCGAAACUGGCGAUCUUGAGUCCGGGAGAGGUGAGUGGAACUGCGAGUGUAGAGGUGAAAUUCGUAGAUAUUCGCAAGAACACCAGUGGCGAAGGCGGCUCACUGGCCCGGUACUGACGCUGAGGUGCGAAAGCGUGGGGAGCA